GAGGGUAAUAAUAAGAGCGUAUGGUGGAUGCCUUGACUUGAAGAGGCGAUGAAAGACGUGGCGUGGCUGCGAUAAGCUUCGGUUAGGUGCCUAGCAACCUUUGAUCCGGAGAUUUCUGAAUGGGGAAACCCAAUUCGGUAAAGCCGAAUUAGCCCUGUCGAAUGAUGGGGCGGCACACCUGGGGAAGUGAAACAUCUCAGUACCCAGAGGAAAAGAAAACAAUGUCCCGCUUGCGGGACGACAUUCUCUUAGUAGCGGCGAGCGAAACGAGAACAGCCCAAACCAGUGCUUCGCACUGGAAAUUCGAAAUUCGAAUAUCGAAAUUCGAAACAAAUCUAAAAUUUUAAUUUUCUAAAUUCUAAACAUUUUGAAUUUAUAAUUUUGGAUUUAAAUAUUGUUUCGUACUUCGGAUUUAUGAUUUCGUGCUUCCAAUGCGUAGCAUUGGGGUUGUAAGGUAGAUACAUUAUCAGAGUGUUCCUAAGCUAUAAUAUUUUUGUUUUAUGGUUUGGGAACUAUUCUGAUACAGAGUUUAUAAAAUUACAUUGUUUAGCAGAAUAAGACUGGAAAGUCUGACCAAAGAAGGUAAUAGUCCUGUAUGCGAAAAGCUUUGUAUACUCUGAGUGUUUAUUCUUGAGUACCUCGACACAUGCCUAGGUCGGGGGAAUCCGGGAGAACUAACUCCUAAGGCUAAAUACUCUUCAAGAUCGAUAGUGAACGAGUACCGUGAGGGAAAGGUGAAAAGUAGCCCGAUGAGGGCGGUGAAAUAGUACCUGAAACCAUAUGCUUACAAGGACUCGGAGUCCCGCUUCGCGGGAUGACGGGGUGCCUAUUGAAGAAUGAGCCAACGAGUCCAUUUGUAUUGCGUUAAUCUAAGCCGUUAUGCGGCGGAGGUAUAGGGAAACCGAGUCUGAAUAGGGCGAAUGUCCCGCCUUUGGCGGGACGCGCAGUGCGAAUGGGACCCGAAGCCAGGUGAGCUUACCAUGGCCAGGGUGAAUCCCGCCGAAAGGCGGGAGGAGGCCCGAACCGGUUGGCCGUGCAAGACCAUCGGAUGAGCUGUGGUAAGAAGUGAAAAGCUAAUCGAACCUGGUAAUAGCUGGUUCUCUCCGAAAUAGCUUUAGGGCUAGCGUCUUAGUUAUUUUUUGGGGGUAGAGCUACUGGAAGGUGUGAAUAGGGGGAAACCUCGUCACGCCUACCAAACUCCGAAUACCAAAAAUGUUUGCUAAGGCAGUUAGGCUAUGGGGGCGAAGCUCCAUUGGCCGAAAGGGAAACAGCCCAGACCUCAAUCUAAGGUCCCUAAAUCUUUGCUAAGUGCGCUUAAGGAGGUGUGAUUUCUCUGACAGCGAGGAGGUUGGCUUAGAAGCAGCCUUCCUUUAAAGAGUGCGUAACAGCUUACUCGUUAAGAGAUUGCGCGCCGCAAAUAAUCGGGGCUAAGCAAAGUACCGAAGGUGAGGAUCCCGCCAUAGGCGGGAUGGUAGGAGAGCGUUCUCAACUGCUGUGAAGUUCACGCCGCGAGGCGGAAUGGAGCGUUGAGAAGUGAAAAUGUUGGCACAAGUAACCGCAAUGCGGGUGAGAUCCCCGCAGGCCGAAAGUCUAAGGUUUCCUUGGCAAUGGUGAUCAUCCAAGGGUUAGUCGGGCCUAAGGUAAUGGCGAAAGCCGUAGCCGAUGGACAUAUGGUUAAUAUUCCAUAACUUCCUCAUUUUUCUAAUGGAAGGACGGAGGAAACAAGUGAGAGCGCAUUAUUGGAUUUGCGUUGUUUAGAUUAAGAGGUGUUUCUUAGGUAAAUCCGGGAAACUGAUUUAAUUCAAAUUUCGUAUCUGGACAAAAUUCAUUCCUUCGGGUUUGAAAAUUUUCAUGAAGAGCCUUCCAAGAAAAGUUUCUAGGGUUAAAAAUGAGGAACCCGUACCAAAAACCAACACAGGUGGACAGGUCGAGAAGACCAAGGCCAACGAGUGAUUGCUCCUCAAGGAACUCGGCAAAACAGCGACCGUAACUUUGGAAUAAGGUCCGCCCCGCUUGGCGGGGCCGCAGCGAAAGAUCCCUGGCGACUGUUUACUAAAAACACAGCUCCCUGCGAACUCGUAAGAGAAUGUAUAGGGGGUGACGCCUGACCAAUGCAAGAAGGUUAAAUAACGGUGGUGUUCCGCCUUUGGUGGAAUGCUGGCUGUUAUAAGCCCUUGUGAAUGUCGGCCGUAACUAUAACGGUCCUAAGGUAGCGAAAUUCCUUGUCUGGUAAGUUCAGACGUGCACGAAUGGCGUAACGACUGGGGAACUGUCUCGAGGAGUAGCUUGGUGAAAAUGCAAUACCGGUGAAGAUGCCGGUUACCUGCAGCUAGACGAAAAGACCCCGGGAGCUUUACUGCAACUUGGUAUUGGGUCUAGGUUCUAAAUGCGUAGAAUAGAUGGGAGGCUUUGAAGUUUUGUUUUUGGACAGAAUGGAGCCGUCAGUGAAAUACCAUCCUUUUAGAGUUUAGAUUCUAAUCUUUACGGCAAAAACGUAAGGGGACAGUAUCUGGUGGGCAGUUUUGCUGGGGCAGCAUCCUCCUAAAAAGUAAUGGAGGAGUCUAUUAAGGUUGGCUAGGCGCGUAUGGAAAUCGUGCUGAUAGUGUAAUGGCACAAGCCAGCUUAACUGCAAGACGUACAUGUCAAGCAGAUGCGAAAGCAGAGCAUAGUGAACUGCUUGUGGGCUUUAGACGCCGCAAGCAAUUAACGGAUAAAAGUUACCCCGGGGAUAACAGGCUAGUCGAGCCCGAGAGUCCAUAUCGACGGCUCGGUUCGGCACCUCGAUGUCGGCUCGUCCUAUCCUGGGGCUGGAGAAGGUCCCAAGGGUUUGGCUGUUCGCCAAUUAAAAGGGUACGCGAGCUGGGUUCAGAACGUCGUGAGACAGUUCGGUCC
rnacentral:rRNA from 1 species